rnacentral:sRNA from 1 species
AUUCUGCCCAUGCGGGGAAGGAUGAGAAGCUUGACCAAGGUUCGACUCGAGCGCCAGCGAGAGAGCGUUGCCGCAGGCAACGACCCGAAGGGUGAAGCGCGCAGCGCUGAGUAAUCCUUCCCCCACCACCA